rnacentral:rRNA from 1 species
AUUGAACGCUGGCGGCAGGCUUAACACAUGCAAGUCGAGCGAGCGGCGGAGGGGUGAGUAAUGUCUGGGAAACUGCCUGAAGGAGGGGGAGAACUACUGGAAACGGUAGCUAAUACCGCAUACCAUCAGAUGUGCCCAGAUGGGAUUAGCUAGUAGGUGGGGUAAUGGCUCACCUGGGCGACGAUCCCUAGCUGGUCUGAGAGGAUGACCAGCCACACUGGAACUGAGACACGGUCCAGACUCCUACGGGAGGCAGCAGUGGGGAAUAUUGCACAAUGGGCUCAAGGCCGAUGGAGCCAGGCCGGGUGAGUGAAGAAGGCGUUCGGGUUGUAAAGUACUCUCGGCGAGGAGGCGUUACCCGACUACGAAGCCUCGGCUAACUCCGUGCCAGCAGCCGCGGUAAUAC